NNCCUCUCAGGGUCACACCUGGAGAGUUUCCAGUACUCUAUCAGUCUUGACUACAGGAGGGAGAGUCAAACAGAGGCAUACCCUUUCCAUUCCUAGCUUGUCCAGUGGCUAGCAAGUGGAAGACAAUCUGCUACAAGA
rfam:Ornithorhynchus anatinus chromosome 4, whole genome shotgun sequence.